rnacentral:rRNA from 2 species
GCGGCGGACGGGUGAGUAAUGCCUAGGAAUCUGCCUGGUAGUGGGGGACAACGUUUCGAAAGGAACGCUAAUACCGCAUACGUCCUACGGGAGAAAGCAGGGGACCUUCGGGCCUUGCGCUAUCAGAUGAGCCUAGGUCGGAUUAGCUAGUUGGUGAGGUAAUGGCUCACCAAGGCGACGAUCCGUAACUGGUCUGAGAGGAUGAUCAGUCACACUUGGAACUGAGACACGGUCCAGACUCCUACGGGAGGCAGCAGUGGGGAAUAUUGGACAAUGGGCGAAAGCCUGAUCCAGCCAUGCCCGCGUGUGUGAAGAAGGUCUUCGGAUUGUAAAGCACUUUAAGUUGGGAGGAAGGGUUGUAGAUUAAUACUCUGCAAUUUUGACGUUACCGACAGAAUAAGCACCGGCUAACUCUGUGCCAGCAGCCGCGGUAAUACAGAGGGUGCAAGCGUUAAUCGGAAUUCUGGGCGUAAAGCGCGCGUAGGUGGUUUGUUAAGUUGGAUGUGAAAUCCCCGGGCUCAACCUGGGAACUGCAUCCAAAACUGGCAAGCUAGAGUAUGGUAGAGGGUGGUGGAAUUUCCUGUGUACCGGUGAAA